rnacentral:rRNA from 1 species
GACGAACGCUGGCGGCGUGCUUAACACAUGCAAGUCGAAGAUAGUGGCGAACGGGGGAGUAAUACGUGGGUCACCUGCCCUCCUUUUUGGGAUAAGCCUUGGAAACGGGGUCUAAUACCGAAUAAAGGGGGAUGGGCUCGCGGCCUAUCAGCUUGUUGGUGGGGUGAUGGCCUCCCAAGGCGGUGACGGGUUGCCGGCCUUAGAGGGUGAACGGCCACAAUGGGACUUGGAAACGGCCCAGACUCCUACGGGAGGCAGCAGUGGGGGAAAUUUCACAAAUGGCGAAAACCUGAGGCAGCGACGCCGCGUGAGUGAUGACGGCCUUCGGGGUGUAAAGCUCUUAACGGGCGAAUGCGGUACCGGAAUAGAAAGCCACGGCUAACUACGUGCCAGCAGCCGCGGUAAUUC